rnacentral:sRNA from 1 species
GAGGUAAAUUCGUCCCUGAAGGCUUCAAAGUUCGAGAAAUGCGAGGCAAACUGGCCAUUGGCAUCACAGCCAACUUUGUGAAUGGACGCACUGUGGAAGAGACACAGGUGCCGGAGAUCAGUGGUGUAGCCAGGAUCUACAACCAGAGCUUCUUCCAGAGCCUUCUCAAAGCCACAGCAAAGGAGAAGGAACCUGUCCCCUCAGGGAUUAAGCAGGCACAGCCCUAGUUGACCACCCAGCAUGAAAAGUCCUGGAAUCUCUCAGAGAUGAACCUGUGUAUGGGAGUUUUGCUUAAGUGGUACUUCAAGAAGGUGCCUCUGUUUACUUUGAUUUUGCACUGUCAUGCAACCAGGUGGUGCAGGUCUCCCAAAUGCCACCCCCCUCCAAGCUUCCCUCUUUGCUCUAAGUCCUCAGGCCUCCUGGGCCUGGGACAGAUGGUUGGUUGUGUCAUCAGGACUUGUGGGGUUCUAUGCGUGGAGCACUCACUGCAGCCUAAGCUGGGAUCCCAGCUCAGGUCAGGCCAUGUUGGGAUGUUUAGGGAAGGUGAUGCAUUAUCAGGAGACAUA